CCACAGUUUGGGAUUAGGUCUUUUCAUGGGACCCCCAACUUGUUAAAGUUCUUAGGAUUCAGGAUGCUGCCCUUCCCACUGGUGCUGAGGCCUCCAUGCUGCGUUUCAAGGCCUGAAUGUACAUCCAUCAUGGCGUCAGCUUCACUAAGGCAUGACAGUCACCAGCCAUCGAUGGUACUGGAGCCCUUGAGCUGGAGCGAGCUGGAGCGAGCCGCACUGGGAUGCAAUACACCUGUAAAAGACACCGAGUUUAAUGGGUUGCUAUGAAAAAUGAAUGCAAGCAUACACAUCAAUCUCCAGCUUAAAUUAUAAUCUUGGACCAUUGGACUGAAUAAAAAUAGACGAUUAUAAUUAAUUUCACCUGCCUUUCUUCCCGCCCUCAUUGCUAUGGCUACUAGAAAAAUCUCACCCGCGUGUGUCAUCCCAUCUACGGCUCAAAUGUUGGGUCUGUCACUAAGUCAAUAAUAUUGGAGCAUCCAUCUUCUUCAGUCCUGUUGGCCCACAGACACUAUGUGAGAUCCGCAAGCCAGUCCUCCGGCCUCUGGGAGCCUCAUUAAGGAGAACAGCGUGACAUCCCUCCAGGGUUCAGUUCAGGGCGACAUGUGAACCGCACAUCGCCAUGACACCCAACCCAUGCUGGCCUCAGCUUGCUUCACUAAUCAAAACCUCAUGAUGCCAACGUUGUCGGGAUCCAUUCCACCCAUUGAUCUGCGCCCUCUUCAGCUGCCGUGGGAUCGGUUCCUAAAGACAAUCUCGGGAGCUCUGUGACGUCACACGAGGGAUGCCCUUACCAGAGAAGGGCUCAGGAGGAUCCCUGAGUCUCCACCCACCUCAGACCUGGAAAGAGCAAGAAACAGAGCAGACAGGAUACAGAGAUCCUGGGUCCAGACGCUCGAAGGCCAAUGGUUUGGCCUCACCUUGGGGCUGGCCGCCUCGGAUCACUCCACAAACCUGAGGAACACAAACGGAAGGCCUUUUCAGAAAGCCACUGCUGGAGAUGAGUCCCAGGGGCUGCUGUGGGGAACCUCUUCAGCCCCUCCCUACACCUGCAGCCUGAGAUGGAGUUCCCCAUAAGGAGCGAGGCGUGUCUCCCUGCUCACAGCCUCAGAACCUAAAAUCCCAGAACUUGGACGGAGGGGGAAAACUACCUUCAUUUGGAUCACUCCCGGUGCCCUUCCUUCUGCUAGGAACGAAGACCACGGACCACAGAGGCGGAGUGGUUCUGGGGCUUUAUCCUCAGUCAGGAUCAGAGAGACCUGCUGCCGGGUUGGAGCUAUUGAAACGAUUGACAAAUAGCACUGAUUCUUGUCAAUACCUCGGAGCAGCACAAACGCCUUCCUCCCCUGGGAGUGUGUUCUUUGACACAUCCGAGGAGAGGCCUGCCUGGUUACAGCAUCCCAGCCU